UUAAAAACACAUGUAUUGGGCUGGAGAGAUGCUCAGAGGUUAAGAACACUGGCUGCUCUUCCAGAGGACCUGGGUUCAAUUUUCAGCACACACAAGGCAG
ensembl:miRNA Gm27392 predicted gene, 27392